GGGUUAAGAGGUAAAAAUGUGACCUUGCGAACACUCAAGGUAUUUAAUGAGACCCAUGCUGGGAAAAGAUAGUGAGAACCAUGUGUGAAACAAGAAUGAUUUUAGUCUGGAAAUAAUAAAUUAAUAGCGGAAGAUGGCAGAUACAUGAUUAAGUGAACUGAUUUUUGUUAAAUUACUUUUACCUUUCUUUAAUUAAUAAAGAUGCGGAGGGUAUUGCUGACAUCUGGUUUUGAUUGAUGACGGGAACAAGUAAUUUGUGGACUAGUAAAGUAGUAAUAGAAUUCUCUCGUGGAUUGAAGAUAAGAAUGUUUUCUCAAUCCGUGAGAAUGAUAAGCAGUUUGACCAGUUUUGGUCAGAGUAACAAGGAGAAUGCUUUAAGCUUGUUGUCUAGGGAAAAUUCUUUCUUGGGAAGGAGUUCCCUAUUCAAGUUUUUGGCUGAGUUUGUCCAUCAACAUUUGUAGGGUUUCAGUAUUAGUACUGCACAG
rnacentral:misc_RNA from 1 species